AUCCGAAUAACAUAAAUCGAGACAUCUAAACUAAGAUUUCUGUAAUAACCAUAUCGGGUAAGUUGCAUGUUUCAGACAAGGAUGUGCAUCUCUUCAUUAAAAAGCAAUGACCAUGCAUGAUAAUCGCAUGAUAGCAGAUGAUAAAGCACAAUGCAUGCUGCACUAUUUUGCACAUAAUAAAGUGUUUGAAACAAUUC